CCCUGGAGGCCGACCUAAGACAAGUUUUUCAGUGGAUAAUGUGAAAUUCCUGGCAGAAGUGACAAACUGUUCAGCCCAGCCAUCGAGCAGAACAGAGAGGAUUAAAAUCAUUAUUAAGGCAGCACAAAAAUACCUUGAUUCGGGGGAAAUAAAAGUAGAGGAAAUACAUGAUAUUCUUACAGCAGGAACACAAGCUCCACAGUCAUCAUGUGGAGGAUCAUAAUGGUUU